rnacentral:rRNA from 1 species
GACGAACGCUGGCGGCGUGCUUAACACAUGCAAGUCGAACGGAAAGGCCCUGCCUUUGUGGGGUGCUCGAGUGGCGAACGGGUGAGUAACACGUGAGUAACCUGCCCGUGACUUUGGGAUAACUUCAGGAAACUGGGGCUAAUACCGGAUAGGAGCUCCUGCUGCAUGGGGGGGGUUGGAAAGUUUCGGCGGUUGGGGAUGGACUCGCGGCUUAUCAGCUUGUUGGUGGGGUAGUGGCUUACCAAGGCUUUGACGGGUAGCCGGCCUGAGAGGGUGACCGGCCACAUUGGGCCUGCGAUACGGCCCAGACUCCUACGGGGGGCAGCAGUGGGAAAUAUUGCCCAAUGGGCGGAAGCCUGAGGCAGCAACGCCGCGUGCGGGAUGCCGGCCUUCGGGUUAUAAACCGCUUUCGCCUGUGACGAAGCGUGAGUGACGGUAAUGGGUAAAGAAGCACCGGCUAACUACGUG